UGAGGAAUAUUGGGCAAUGCCCGCAAGGGUGACCCAGCAACGCCGCGUGGAGGAUGAAUGUCGUAAGAUUGUAAACUCCUGUUAGAGGGGAAGAAUAGUACCGGUUGGACCGGUAUAUGACUGUACCCUCAGAGAAAGCCCCAGCUAACUACGUGCCAGCAGCCGCGGUAAUACGUAGGGGGCAAGCGUUGUCCGGAUUUACUGGGUGUAAAGGGCGCGCAGGCGGGAUAAAAAGUCAGUGGUGAAAUCCUACAGCUUAACUGUAGAACUGCCUUUGAUACUUUUAUUCUUGAGUUCGGGAGAGAGAGACGGAAUUCCAGGUGUAGUGGUGAAAUACGUAGAUAUCUGGAAGAACACCAGUUGCGAAGGCGGUCUCUUGGUCCGACACUGACGCUGAGGCGCGAAAGCGUGGGGAGCAAACA
rnacentral:rRNA from 1 species